UACAGAGGUCUCAAGCGUUUGUUCGGAUUCAUUGGGCGUAAAGGGUGUGUAGGUGGCGCCGUAAGUCGGGUGUGAAAUUUCGGAGCUUAACUCCGAAACUGCAUUCGAUACUGCGGUGCUUGAGGACUGGAGAGGAGACUGGAAUUCAUGGUGUAGCAGUGAAAUGCGUAGAGAUCAUGAGGAAGACCAGUGGCGAAGGCAGGUCUCUGGGCCACUACUGACGCUGAGAAGCGAAAGCAUGGGGAGCGAACAGG
rnacentral:rRNA from 1 species